ACUUAGAGUCAAAUAUUUUUAUCGCAGUAUUUUAGAGCUAACAUCUAAAUCCAACUCCACAUGAUUAUCAUCUAAACGUUCAGGCUAAGAAGACCACCAAGCUAUAGUUGGUCCGACUCGAAUUUUUUUUCCCUCAGGAGUUUUCCUAAGUAAAAUUUUAUCUCCUUAAAUUUUAUUUCAGGUCAUGUUAGGGAAUAACUGGUUAACUCCACGUUACAAUAAUAAUGAUUUUUAAUUCCGCAGUGAUUUUUUCCUUGAAACAUUUUAUCUGAGACUUCGAAAGAGAUCAACAAGGCAGAUAUGCACCAGAGAUUCAUACUUUAAAACACCACAUGAGUAGGUCUUGGCCUAUCAAAUACCCUACGCAAUUAUAAAGUUUUUACCCUAAAUUCUUAUUACCGAUUAGAUAAUAUUCUUGCAAAGUUUCUCCUGGGUGUUCAAGGACAGCUUUACUAGGAAAACUCGCUCGCGUGAAAAAGAAAAAAAAUUGUUUUCGUGUUGACAAAGACUGUAAAACUUUACGAGUUAUCACGGCACCUUUGAUCCAGGUAUUUACUCAGAUAACGCAGUGUGUGCGUAACGAAACGAGCUGAGGUUUGUGUAUUAACAGUCUGUAAAAGAUUGGAAGAAGAAAAACAGUCGGAUGGGAAAUGGUGCUUAAUUUUCGUGAGAAUUUCACCUCUGGCCUGUUGAUUAGCACUUUGUUAAAGAUGAUAAUUCAAUUAUCCAGAAAAGGAUAAAGGCACCAUCAGUCACGAAAAGGAGUGCCCUAAGACAAAGAAGGCAAAUACUUUGCGCGACCACAAAAUCUCUACAGGAAUGGAGAAUAAUCGCAUUCUCAAGUGUGAAGUUGGGUUUCGGUUAGUUCAUUUAGCACCUCCUAAGCUAAGUGCAGAUAAUUGGGUUAGGUGGAUAAGGGUAAAUAAAUAUUAUAAGACACGAAAUCGAGUAACUGUCCACAAGAAUGAUUGACCUUGAACGAGGCGAAAUCGCACGAAUAGAGAGAUGCUUUCCCCCUUCGCAUGACUGGAGCUGAGGAAAUUUGAGAUGCACUUCAUUCUUCCAAAGGAUUUGUGUCAAGUAGAGAAUCAUUUAGCGGAACUUAUUUUCUUUCCCGUGAAAAAAGAUCAGAGCUUUGACCCAGCUCUGUGGGUUCCUAUACCUCCAAGGUCAAUUGGAUCCCAUAUAUGGUAAAGGCGUCUCAGAGAGUAACAUCAGCAUAUGCAUGUGCACUUUGGAAAAUAUUUACACGGACGCCUGUUGAUACAUAAAUCUUGUUUCUUUCAUGUUGAUGGAAGGUCUAACCAAUUUUUUAAGGUUUUUCUUAUAUAGAAUAGCCGAUUGUGUAUUGACUCCAAAAUCGUGACACUGCGCGUUGAAGGGAAAAGUACGCUUCAUUAACUGAUCAAUCUUUUCAAAGUAGUCAAUGUUUGCAUUUUAGUAAAAACAGUAGAGUAGAGUAAUCGUAUGUGAUGCAAAACUGUUUAAUCACGAACAUAACUUACAUAAGCUGUACUGCAAAGCUUACCGCAUUUGGUAACCCAGGUCGGGUUUGAGACUUAAGGAAGAGUUAAGAAGCGGUCUUCCGCUUCGGUUGUCAAAUGUCUCAUGUGGCGCGACAGAGGCGGAGCUCCGCAUGGAAUUGUCAAGGCCAAUGUCAUCGCGGACUAUCACAUUUCCAGUACGGUGGCAAUUGUGUAUGAAAGACUUGCAUCAUCAUGCGAACUCUGCAAACUGAAUUAUUUCCACGCGUGAAAGACAAAUGGGCAAAGUCGAUUGCGGUAUCUUCAUUUAGACCCAAAUUUCGAGCACAGUUCAACUGGCUGUUAUUGGAAUCUGGGAAACCGUAAAGAAAACCUCCGCUUUGGGUGUACAAUGCUCAAGAACAAACCAAAUAAAAUAUAAAAAAGUAUAUUUUUCGUUAUUUUUCAAUAAUUAAAUAUCUUUAAGUUGA